rnacentral:rRNA from 1 species
UACGGAGGAUGCGAGCGUUAUCCGGAUUUAUUGGGUUUAAAGGGUGCGUAGGCGGCUUAGUAAGUCAGCGGUGAAAUUUUGCAGCUUAACUGUAACAGUGCCGUUGAUACUGCCAGGCUAGGAUUUGGUUGCUGUGGGUGGAAUGUGUGGUGUAGCGGUGAAAUGCUUAGAUAUCACACAGAAUAUCGAUUGCGAAGGAAGCUCACAAAGCCAAGAUUGACGCUGAGGCACGAAAGUGUGGGGAUCAAACAGGA